rnacentral:rRNA from 1 species
AUGCCAGUUACCAUUGCUAAUCUAUCUACAAAGCUCGACUGGAUUACAAUAGGUGGUAACAAAAUAACUUGGACCAUACCUGCAGGGCUAGGAAAGUAUAAAAAACUUACAAAGUUUAACAUCGCAAAUAGCCUUUUCACUGGCACCUUGCCUCUAGAUAUUUGCCAGAUUCCUAGCCUCCAGUAUCUCGAUCUAUCCCAUAAUAGAUUAUAUGGGCAGAUUCCACAAUCAUUAAGCAAUAUCACGCAAUUGAACAACCUCUCUCUUUCUAAUAACUUUCUGGAUGGCAUCAUUCCAUCGAGCAUUGGAAAUCUCACAAAACUUAUAUCUCUGGAUCUUUCCGGUAACUCAUUGAGAGGGAGGGGGGGGAAUCCCAUAUGA